UGGGGAAUUUUGGACAAUGGGCGCAAGCCUGAUCCAGCCAUGCCGCGUGCGGGAAGAAGGCCUUCGGGUUGUAAACCGCUUUGUCAGGGAAGAAAUCUUCUGAGUUAAUACCUCGGGAGGAUGACGGUACCUGAAGAAUAAGCACCGGCUAACUACGUGCCAGCAGCCGCGGUAAUACGUAGGGUGCAAGCGUUAAUCGGAAUUACUGGGCGUAAAGCGUGCNCAGGCGGUUUUGUAAGACAGAGGUGAAAUCCCCGGGCUCAACCUGGGAACUGCCUUUGUGACUGCAAGGCUUGAGUGCGGCAGAGGGGAUGGAAUUCCGNGUGUAGCAGUGAAAUGCGUAGAUAUGCGGAGGAACACCGAUGGCGAAGGCAAUCCCCUGGGCCUGCACUGACGCUCAUGCACGAAAGCGUGGGGAGCAAACAGGAUUAGAUACCCUGGUAGU
rnacentral:rRNA from 1 species